CUAAGAUCAGCAGGUCCUUUAAUCAAACCAUCACCGGGAUCUUUGACCCAGGCUGAUUUAAACUUCCCCAGUGGUUCCCACAUUGCUGCCGGUGGCUUGGCUUAUCACCCACUGAAGCAGCGUUUUCUCUCAGCUCCCUGUCCACCCAAGCUGAUGUAAAAGAAAAUGUGACCUGGAAAUCCGC